UUGGGGCGGGGAUCUUGAGCCACCUGUGCUCUGUGCUUUCAGUCCCCUCCCCGGUCUCCACAGGCACUUGGUGCCUGCUGGCCUCUGCUCUCCAACCCUCUGGGCGAGCAAUGGGCUCAACAUGUUCCUGAAGCUCCAACAGGGUAGUGAGCCCGAAGCUGGCUGCUACUCACCCCCACCGUGGACCAUGGCCCCCAGGAUGGAAGGAAACCAAGAGGUCUCACUGUUGCUGGCCUGAAAGUCGCGCUGCAGAUCAGUGAAGAAGACACCGAUGCAGGCAGGGAAGCCCAAGGAGGAUCAGACCGUGGGCCGGCAAAAUGCUGGUGUUUCCCAAAGGGGACAUGGACCUGUCUCCCUCCAAACUUCCAUUAUGAGCUGCCUGUGUACCAGCACCAACUUUCCUACCACUGGGAGAUCAACCUGAGCUCACCACCAGCGAGCAAGCUGGCACAGAAGGCACAGAUGCCAGCUCAGCAAGGACAGCCGAGCUUCAGGCUUGCAGAGAGAAGCCUUUGAAACCACCUUACCACACUCCCUUUACAAGGUGUGGAAGAUCAAGAGUGGGGCUCCACAGCUGUGCUGAAUCUUGUUGCCUGCAAGGGACUUUUUCUGAGCAUACACACACACACACACACACACACACACACACACACAUUUACACAGGUACAGAGACAGGCACAGAUACAUACACAGUCCCACACUGGCAUAUAGACUCACUCCAGGAUACACACACACACACACACACACACACACACACACACACACACACUAUCUACCCCCUCAACCCCCACCCCAAUCACACAAAAUCUAUGCAGAUACAGUCAGGCCUAUCUCAGUUAGAUACCACCACCCAGGCCCCAUACCCAGUCCAGAUGCAGAACCCCCAGCAGUUUUAAGCCCGCCCCCUCUCUCCCCUC